UUGUCACACACGUCAAACCAUAGACUUAACCGACUCGACAUACCAGACCGACUCAAUCUUAUGACACCUUUAGCACCCAGAUACCCGACCAUGAACUAAGGACUCUACAAUGCACGUUUUUAUAUCCCGCCUCUUGCGGCUGGCUCAUCUUUUCUCUUUUCUCCGGGGGUAGCUCUCUCUAGACUUCUACCCCAUAUUCUUGUGGAUUCCACCACAGCUCCUAU
rnacentral:lncRNA from 1 species